ensembl:lncRNA
GCUGAACCCACCUAGGCCCUCGUGUUCUUCUACAGCUGAAUCCACCUAGGCCCUCCUGUUCUUCUACAGCUGAACCCACUUAGGCCCUCCUGUUCUUCUACAGCUGAACCCACUUAGGCCCUCCUGUUCUUCUACAGCUGAAUCCACCUAGGCCCUUGUGUUCUUCUACAGCUGAACCCACCUAGGCCCUUGUGUUCUUCUACAGCUGAACCCACUUAGGCCCUCCUGUUCUUCUACAGCUGAACCCACUUAGACCCUCCUGUUCUUCUACAGCUGAAUCCACCUAGGCCCUCCUGUUCUUCUACAGCUGAACCCACCUAGGCCCUCGUGUUCUUCUACAGCUGAAUCCACCUAGGCCCUCCUGUUCUUCUACAGCUGAACCCACUUAGGCCCUCGUGUUCUUCUACAGCUGAACCCACUUAGGCCCUCCUGUUCUUCUACAGCUGAACCCAUCAAAACACUCCUGUUAUUUAGUCUAUGGGAACUUUUGUCUCAUGACACAAACCUGGAAUGUGUUAAGUAUGUUUGUACAUUCUGUAAAAGGAAUGUCGUCGUGCUAACUGACCAGUUAGGAAAACUAUAUGGUUGUGUGUCGGGAACGCCAUCAGCAUUGCCAGUAACUUUUAAGUCACUCAAUUCUUCUGACCACAUUAACAUACUGCAGUCAGUUCAAGUACGAUUUUGGGGAAACACGCCUUCAGUACAAACCCUUCCAUAAUGUAGAAAACAUUGAAUUGAACUAAUACCUUUACUGUUAAUCAGGAUGAGGUUUUGUUUAAAAAAAAAUAAUCUUAGCAGUAUUUUGUAAGCAAUCUUACACUAAGGUGUCCUUUAGUGUCUGUCCUGUUCCUACUCCAGGCAGAUUCACAUGCUAUUGCCCAUGUCUGUAAUAAAGAGAAAUGUAUUUUGGACUGUAGCAGUAUUUAUUGGUUGGUGCAGCAGCAGACAAGGUACUAUGUGAAACACUACACAAUGUGGAUUAGAUAGUUUGCAUAUGAACCUUGGUUAUGAGAGCUUGUAUUGGCUGGACGGCUGACCUAUUUAAAUGACCGGUUGAAGGUCAGAUACGUUAUUGUUGAAUGUUCUUGUUUUUUUAACUGGAAUUGAGCUCAGAAUGAACCUCUAGCUGUUUGUCCAGUUUUAUUCUGAUUUGUAUUUGAGGUUAGACACAGGUUGCGCUAAAAGAGAAUUCACUCUGUCCGGUAUUGUAGCUAAAGACUUAGUGUUUAUCCAGACUGCAGUUACACUGCACAAAGUAUCAAGAAUUACAUUUUCUAUUGGACUGGUUUUAUUGUGAUGAGAGACUGCUGGGAUUUAGUUUAGGUACAUUUCACCUACAGCUCAACACAGGGUCUGUCUGCCCUAACCAAGACCACAUCUGUGCUCAGUUUCUAGAACACUCUGAUAAAAAAACAAACAUGUAGAAUAAGGAAUCACACCUGCUCUUUUUAUUUAUUUUCUGUAAGUGUUGUGUGCUUUUUCUUUACUAUCUUUUCUUUUUAAACCUGCUAGGGUUAUGUGCAAUGACAAUGUUAAAUAUUGAGUCUCUUGUAAUCUUGAAGAUGUCUAAGGAACGCUAAUGCUUCUCUGAUUUUGUAUGAUAAUAAAUUUGACGUUGCUGUGAUGUCCAGUAUUUAGAAACGCUACCUUUCAGGUCUUCUCUUUUUGCAGUACGUUUAUUUAAUGCCUGGGCUCUGCACACGGGUCUGGGCCUGAAUUUACAAGGUGUCAGAAGACCGGGUCAGUUGUUAAUUAACAAGAUCAUGUGGACAGUUGGGUACUUGAUCCUGGAUCAGCACUAACAACAGGCCUUGGUCCAAACCAUUUUGUAGCUGCUUCAUGAAUUUCUACUUGUCUUUUGUAAGUUCCCUUUUAAUACUCAAACUUGGGUUAUGAAUAAAA